rnacentral:lncRNA from 1 species
UUUUCCAGCCUUAACUCUGGAAGAGGGUGUAUAUGACGGGGAAGUGUGCUGGGGAGAUGAUAUUUCCCAUAGGAUAGGUUAGGUAACAUUAUGCAGAGAAGCUGGUAGUGGUAAGCCGGAAGGCCAGGACAGCACCAGACCACGCUGUUAAGGACAGGUGCAGCUCGUUCCGCAGGUACAGCUUGUUAGGCAGUAGAUCUCUAGGGCAAUACCAAUGGCUGCCAUUUACGAGUGCUUAGUGUGCAGCGUGCACUGUGCUGAAGGCUCUCAAGCACUUCUCAGUGAAUCUUCACAAUAGCACCCUGAAGCAGAAUAUGCAUUAUUCUCUUUCUGCAGAGACAGCCCCAUGGCAGAGCAGCAAAAGAGGACCAGUGCUCCACCUUGGUGAAAUACAAGAUGACUGGGGUGAAGGAGAUGAAGAUCAAAUUGAAGAAACCCAAGGUGGAGACAAAGUGUGCAGCUUCCCCAAAGUUGGCACUUCCAAGAAACAUUUUAAACAAGACCUGGAAUGAGAAAGAAACUCUACAGCCACACAGAAACUUAGCCAGAGCAGAAACAAAAACACAAAACGACUCUUCUUGGCCUCAGCUUUCUGGAAAUGUGUCUGCAGGAAGCCAGUGCCUAAAAUAUUGUGUCAAAAAUGCUCAUAUGUGUUCAUUCACAUGAAGACAACCACUAAAGUGCUCCUGGGACACAUUAACAUCCAUGAGAGGAAUUCUUCUGCUGAAAAUACACCAUCUAGUGGUGCCACCUGCUCGGCUUCUGAAAAAUCUGUCUCUUGACAAUCUAUUCCAGUUCCAGCCUCUUAACCAACCAGAAGUGUCUAAAUAAGAUGGAAAACUAGGCCAGGCACAGUGGCUCACGCCUGUAAUUCCAGCACUUUGGGAGGCCCAGGUGGGUGGAUCACUUGAGGUCAGGAGUUCGAGACCAGCCUGGCCAACCAUGGCGAGACCCCCAUCUCUACUAAAAAUAUAAAAAGUAGCCGUGCUUUGGUGGCACAUGCCUGUAAUACCGGCUACUCGGGAGGUUGAGGCAGGAGAAUCUCUUGAAUCUGGGAGGUGAAGGUUGCAGUGAGCUGAGAUCACAUCACUGCACUCCAGCCUGGGCAACAGAAUUAGACCCUGUCUCAAAAACAAACAAAAAAGAUGGGGAAAAAAAAAACUCACCAUUACCAUUAUCUGAACCUGGCUUAGGUGAGAAUGUUAGUAACCAUAGUGACCAUAAAACUGCCAAUGCCUCCAUUUAAAAUGUUUAAACCUCUCUGCCCUCACACAUUGUGGUGUGCCCACCUGGGGUGAGUCAUUGAAGGAAGAGGAUUUAUUUAGCCCAUUAUCUCAGCAUGCCAGUUGAGUGGCAUGGCCUCGUGAGCCAGCUAUCUUCCUCUGCAGGCUGGGGCCCUCAGACAGCUCUCUGCACUAAUUUUCAGAGCCAAUCAGAAGGGAUCCGUGUGGCCAUUUGAGCCUGUUCCUAAAGCCCAAAGAGGGCUUUACCAGUGGACAUUUGGUGAUCUCACUGUACUAAAUGCUACCUGUGACCCUGCAUGGAGGGUGUUUCUUUUAUCUUUCAAAUAAUUAGUUUGUACAGAUAAAGCCUAAAGAAAUAUCUGGCUUUUGGCCGUUUUUGUUUUCUUGUAUCUUUUUUUUUUCUUUUUUCUUUUUCUCUUUUGGCUCGGGCCAUCAAAAGCCCACAAAGGUUUGGUCCUUCUGUGCAUCUCCAUGAGGGUUUAUCAACCUGAUCCCAUUCACUAUGGUUCCCACUCACAGAUGGUUUUCACAAUUCUUAUUUGCAUAACAGUACCAGCUCUUUUAGGGUCCAAGGCAUUGGAUGAACCUUUAGUUGCUUCUCUUCCUACAGUGUUCCUUUAAGAUUUUAAAGGUCAAGAUGACUGAUUAUAAUCCAAACAUGUUUCCUUACUUUGCCUUGAGGCUAAUUCUGUUUCUUGAAGCUAGGUGAGUAUGAAGCAGCUGGUUCACAAAUGAACCCUUGAAUUCCAAAGCCUACAGCAGCCCCUAAAAAUGCAGAUCUCAGACCACACUGCUGGCAGCUGCUGUGCUCAAGUUGAAGACUAAAGUUUCCUAAGGCUGCUGUAACAAAUUACCACAAACGUGGUGACUUAAAACAACAGAAAUUUAUUCUCUCACGGUUCUGGAGGCCAGAAGUUCAAAAUACAGCUGGGACCAAAGGCAUCUCUAAGGAAGGAUACAGUCCUUGCCUCUUCCAGGGUUCUGUGCCUCCUGUUGGAAUGAGCUCACUAACCAGUGGAAACAAACUGUUUAUCCUUCUAUGAUGUUGCAACUGCCUGGGCUUUCUAAUGCGUCUUCAGAUUUCGGUUUGUACUCAGAACAAGUGAGAAAAGUUUUACAGCAACUCCACGAAACAAAGCAGACAGGCUCUCCUGAAGCCAAGGAGUUAUGAAAAAGGCAGGCAUCGCGCAUUGAAUCAAGUAUGCCAUUACCCUCACUCCCAUGAACCUGUCUUUCAGCACAAUCCAUGACAGCAAGAAGACAAAGGCUUUGUUACAACAGAACAGAGCGGAGACAUCCGUGGCCGUCAGCUUCUUUAAAGCCAGUAAAUAAAGGAAAGAAAAGAGAAGUUAAUAUCCAGGUACUGAUGGUGACACCUCUUGUCUUAUCUGACUCAUCGCAGCCAUUUUCAGGCCUGAAGCGGCGAGGGGACAGAGUGAUUAGAAGAAUCUGGGGCCGGGCACGGUGGCUCACGACUGUAAUCCCAGCACUUUGGGAAGCUGAGGUAGGUGGAUCACCUGAGGUCAGUAGUUCAAGACCAGCCUGACCAACAUGAUGAAACCCCGUCUCUACUAAAAAUACAAAAAUUCUCGUGUUGAGGCAGGAGAACCUCUUGAACCCCGGAGGUGGAGGUUGC